rnacentral:rRNA from 1 species
AACGUAGGUUCCGAGCGUUAUCCGGAUUUACUGGGCGUAAAGCGCGUUCAGGCGGUUUGGCAAGUCGGGCAUGAAAUCUCUCGGCUCAACCGGGAGAGGUUGUCCGAUACUGCUGGACUUGAGGGCAGUAGAGGGUGGUGGAAUUCCGGGUGUAGUGGUGAAAUGCGUAGAUAUCCGGAGGAACACCAGUGGCGAAGGCGGCUGCCUGGCCUGUUCUUGACGCUGAGGCGCGAAAGCUGGGGGAGCAAACGGG